rnacentral:lncRNA from 1 species
CUUGUGUCUGUACCGUUGGACUAUAUCAGGGCUUUUCAAACUCUUUUUCAUAGAUUUCUUUGUAAGCCACAUUAGCUGGAGAGAACUUCAUGGAGAAAGAAGUCAAGAUGAACGAUCAGAGCCUUAAUACUCUCACUUAUAUUUCAACCACAGAGUUGAUGAGCUGGAGAAUGCGACUGGCAGCACAGGCCUAGGGCACCAGAGGGCAGACUGUACAGAGACCUGUGAGAAUGGUCAGAACUCCAUGGAUCAUGAUGGAAUGAUCAGGGACACUAUAAUAGCGUUCAUUUUAUGUAUUAAGCCAGAUUUGCACAACAAUUCCAUUGUAAUACAAAUGUAAUCUUUAGAAGUAAUUUUAAAGCAGCAAAUGUAGAAAUGCCAACUCUCAAGUAAAAGAAAACAAUUUUCCUAAGCCAAAUGUCUUUUGUAAGAGAUUUCAAUGGUCAUUUGAUUUUAGUUUAAAGAUCAUCUGACCUUAUGAUUCACCCGAUUCUUAAAUGCACAUCUCAAAUAUAAUUGUCUUCAUUUGGAGUUAAUGUAUAAAAAAUAAAAACAGUGAAAUAACCCUUUGUGCUUUGUUCUACUGCUGUGCAGUGCUUUUGUCUAACUACAAGAAACUCUAAGUAUACAAUUAUUAGUAUUAAAACUGAUGUCUCCAAGAGUUCAAUGUUAAUUUUACUUAAAAAAUUUAUACUGAAAAAAUGGUUUCUCCAUAUUCCUUGUAAUAUGGCUAUUUAAUCUAAGUUCACUCAGCUCAGUCAUAUAGUCUUUUGAAAACAGAGAUGAUAUGAUAUUUA